CAAGACACCAUUUUCUGUAAUCACAGCAACCAAGUGAGCUGGAAUCAAACCAUGAAGGUGCUCAAAUCUUACUGUGAAACAGAGACAGCUCCCAGUGGAGCCAUCAUAAAUGCAGCUUCGACUUCUGUUCUCUUCUUGCUGACUCUCUUCAUAACCUUUGUGGCAUCAUGAAAUGUAAUGCCAUGGGAAGCCCAGA